UCCUAAGUUCAUUCUUCAAAAUGAUGUGCCCUGUCCAGUCCCUGUUUCUGUUUAUGCUCUGGAUUCUGGGAACCAGUGGCGAUGAUGUUGUGCUGACCCAGACUCCACUCUCUUUGCCGGUUACCAUUGGACAAUCAGCCUCCAUCUCAUGCAGGUCAAGUCAGAGCCUCUUAUAUAGUGAUGGAAUCACCUAUUUGUAUUGGUUCCUACAGAGGCCAGGCCAGUCUCCAAAGCGCCUAAUCUAUUGGGUGUACAACCGGGGUACAGGGGUUCCAGACAGGUUCAGUGGCAGUGGGUCAGGGACAGAUUUCACACUCAAGAUCAGCAGAGUGGAGGCUGAGGAUGUAGGAGUUUAUUACUGCAUGCAAACUACACAUGCUCCUCCCACAGUGACACAGACCUUAACAAAAACCCCUUGCUUCAGGCAGCUCAGCUGCCAAUGUGCUGCUUGA